CGCCCAGAGCUGGAGCUGGUCUGCGCAUGCACUUGGAGGCACGGUAUGAACAACCGCAGAAAUGCCGGCCAACUACGCCAGUUCCCAGAGCCCAGCGUUCUCCUCUCUCCUCUUUCAUUGGUUUCCCAGGAAAGCUGCUGAGGGCGGGAACCCCAGAUGCACAGUUUGGCUCAUAAGCGGGCUGCCUUUCACAGCCACCACUACCCACCCGGGGAGAGCACUGGAUUGUGGCAAACGGGACCUCUUUGUGUGAGCAACCAAGGGCCAUAUGCUGCU
rnacentral:lncRNA from 1 species